rnacentral:rRNA from 1 species
UUAAGAAUCUUGGACAAUGGACGCAAGUCUGAUCCAGCGACGCCGCGUGAACGAUGAAGGUCUUCGGAUUGUAAAGUUCAGUAAGGUGGGACGAAUAAGCAGUAUUUAAUACAUACUGUGAUGACGGUACUAUCCUAAAGCCUCGGCUAAAUACGUGCCAGCAGCCGCGGUAAUACGUAUGAGGCAAGCGUUGUUCGGAAUUAUUGGGCAUAAAGGGCAUCUAGGCGGAGUAUUAAGUCGGGUGUGAAAUCUUCAGGCUUAACCUGAAAACUGCAUCCGAUACUGGUACCCUUGAGUUUGGAAGAGGAAGGCGGAAUUCCUGGUGUAGCGGUGAAAUGCGUAGAUAUCAGGAAGAACACCGGAGGCGAAGGCGGCCUUCUGGUCUAUAACUGACGCUAAAGUGCGAAAGCGUGGGGAGCAAACGGG